GGCAGUCGGGAGGCUUCCAGCUCUAUGUGCGCCGCCACUUGCUGUAGGUCAGCGGCUCAGCUAAUGCAUGGUUAUAUGUUUUGUUAUUGUUUUAGGUCCUUCUCCUUCGCUUUGUCUGGAUCAGGGGACACUCGUUCGUUUAUUGGGCAGCUAGGCGAGCAGAGAGUAGACCAUAUGGCCGUAACCCCGGGUUCUCAUAUGAG